rnacentral:rRNA from 1 species
ACUCCUACGGGAGGCAGCAGUGGGGAAUUUUGGACAAUGGGCGCAAGCCUGAUCCAGCCAUGCCGCGUGCGGGAAGAAGGCCUUCGGGUUGUAAACCGCUUUUGUCAGGGAAGAAAAGGUUCUGGCUAAUACCUGGGACUCAUGACGGUACCUGAAGAAUAAGCACCGGCUAACUACGUGCCAGCAGCCGCGGUAAU